rnacentral:sRNA from 1 species
UAGUACUUUUGACACGUUUUCUCUAACAA